rnacentral:misc_RNA from 1 species
GGGAUGGGAAGAGGUAAAGGAGAGGUAAAAUUGAAGGGUAUAGAAAUAGAAAUAUUAGUAACUGUAUUUUCUCUCUCCUUAUCCCCCUUUAGGCGCUGUUUGGGUGCGGGUGAGAUGAGAGUAAAUGGGUGAGGGUGAAGGAAGAGUAAAUGAGAGUAAGGAGGGUUAAGUAAUUAUUAUACACCUGAUUGAGGAGGAAGAAGAGUUGAGUUAGUAAAAGAUAAGGGUAAGGAUCCUCCCUUACUCCUCAAAUCUCAAGGAGGGGGAGGUGAGAGCUGAAAAUUACUUUAUUUUUUAUUUUUUAUUGUAUUUUUAAUUUUUUAUUAAAAAUUUAAUUAUACUCAUUAAAAAUAAACCUAGCGUACCACUACAAAUAAAUGUUUUCUCUCUCAAGUGGCCAUACAUAGUUUCUCUGCUUUCAAUCAUUUGUUUUUAAAUAGUUUGCUAUAAUUAUUAUACUUCAAUUAUCAUUUUUUUAUUUAUUCUUUCAAUAAUUUGCUUCAAUUAUUAUGCUUCAAUUAUGAUUUUUUUUUUUCUAAAUAAUCUAUUUUUUAUUCAAUCUUUGUUGGAUUUGUGUAUUAUUGUUUUGAUCUAUUAAUUUUAUGAUUAUUUAUAGUGGACCAUUAUUAUUUGCAAAUUUAAGAUUUAUCAUAAUGAGUUUACCAUU